GAUAUCAACGAUAAGACUACAAUUCUUAUUUAGCAUUUAUAUGUUGCUAUUUGAUUUUUUAAAUAAAAUGUUAUUUUUGAGGUAAUUAUAGAUUCACAUGCAGUGCAGUCAUAAAAAAUAAUACAGUGGGAUAUCAUGUAUCCUAUACCCAGUUUCUGGAUAUGGUGAUGUCUUAUCUUGCAAGAUGAUGGUACAAGAUCACAACCAGGACAUUCAUAUAUUGGCAUCGUUAAAAAGGAGAAUAAUUCUGUCAUCACAAUGGUUGCUUAUGUGGCCCCAUUAUGAUACACCCUCCACUUUAUAACCCUUGACAAAUAAUAUUCUGUUCUUCAUUUCUAUAAUUUUGUCAUUUCAGGAAUGUUAUAUGAAUAAAAUACUACAGUAUGAAUACUACAGUAUGUAAACUUUUACAUGUUUUUUUCCUCAAUUUUUUCACUUUUUUUUUUUUUUUUUUUUUUGAGAUAGAGUCUCACUCUGUCACCCAGGCUGGAGUGCAGUGGUGUGAUGUCGGCUGCCUGCAACCUCCGCCUCCCGGGUUCAAGCGAUUCUUCUACCUCAGCCUCCCGAGCAGCUGGGACUACAGGCGCGCACUACCACACCGAGCUAAUUUUUGUAUUUUUAGUAGAGACAAGGUUUCACCACGUUGGCCAGGAUGGUCUGGAUCUCUUGAUCUCGUGAUCUGCCCACCUCAGCCUCCCAAAGUGCUGGGAUUACAGGUAUGGGCCACUGCGCCUGGCCAAUUUUUUUCACUUUUAAAAAAUCAACUUACUUCUCUGAAAUUCAUUCCAGGUUUUAGUGUCUAUCAGUAGUCCAUUCCUUCUUACUCUUGUGUAGUAUUUGGUGGUAUGGAUUGAGGUACUGUAGUCUGUUUAACCUUUCACCCACUGAAGAACAUAUGAGUCAUUGUUUGUCUGGGGCUAUCACAAAUAACUAAACAGUCAUGUACCGGUUUUAUGUGAACAUAACUUUUCAUUUCUCUAGGAUAAAUCCUCUGGGGUACAAUUGCUGGAUCAUACAUAAUUGCACAUAUUUUUCUUAAGAGACUGCUAAACUGAUUUCUAUAGUGGCUGCACUAUUUUGAAUUUCCGUCAGCAAUAUAUGAGGGAUUCAGAAUCUCUAUAUCCUUCCCAGCAUCUGGUGGUGUCACUCACUAUAGGGAUAUUAUUUUGGCAAUUAUAAGUGUGUAAUAAAAGCUCAUUGUGGUUUUAAUUUGC
rnacentral:lncRNA from 1 species